GCAAACUUGGUCAUUUAGAGGAAGUAAAAGUCGUAACAAGGUUUCCGUAGGUGAACCUGCGGAAGGAUCAUUACAGAAAAUACGGAAGGUGCAUGCUUGGAUGUGGGCAAGUCCUACAUCCACACGUGCUCCAUCCAUUUCUAUUCACCCCUUUGUGAACCUUUGCGUGAGUCAGUAUAGGUCAAGUGGCCUAGAAAGCUUGCGACUUCCACAUACCCCUGUAAACGAGUUCUAGAAUGCACCUUGCGUUUAAUCGCAUCCAAUACAACUUUCAGCAACGGAUCUCUUGGCUCUCGCAUCGAUGAAGAACGCAGC
rnacentral:misc_RNA from 1 species